UACGAAGGGGGCUAGCGUUGUUCGGAAUUACUGGGCGUAAAGCGUGCGUAGGCGGAUAUUUAAGUCAGGGGUGAAAUCCCGGGGCUCAACCCUGGAACUGCCUUUGAUACUGGAUAUCUGGAGUUCGGGAGAGGUGAGUGGAAUUCCGAGUGUAGAGGUGAAAUUCGUAGAUAUUCGGAGGAACACCAGAAGCGAAGGCGGCUCACUGGCCCGAUACUGACGCUGAGGCGCGAAAGCGUGGGGAGCAAACAGG
rnacentral:rRNA from 1 species